GAGUAAUACGCUCACCAGGAAUAGAGACUCUAACAAGACUCUCAUGGGGAUAAGAAAAAAGAAAAAGAAUGCGUGAGCAGGACACGACUCUGAAUUAGGGAAAACUAGAAUUAGACACAGCGUGAGCAGGACACGACUGGACUGGAGACUUUACUGGGGAGUAUAGGACUCAAACUGGGAAAAGAAGAAUUCCAAAGGGACAAAUCCAAUGGAAAGACUUAAGCUGACUCAAACUAUCCACGAAGGAUACUUCGGAUGAAAAUC
rnacentral:lncRNA from 1 species